GGCACACUCAGCACUGCUCAGCAGUCAUGCUAAGCUGAAAAAAUCUGGUGUAACUGUUCUGUACCCAAGCUUUGCCUGCACAAAAUGUUAUGCAAGAGCACAUCAUAAUGGAGACCAUUCUAUGUGCACAUAGAUUCUGAAAGACCCAUACUGGGACAGCAUAGGCACAUCUCCUCCUAUCCCUGUGUCCACUCGGAAACUGUGAACACUUGACCUCUGGGCUUUCUGCUUGUGGAAUGAGCAAUGCCAAUGAUAGGUGGUGCCAGUGGGAGAUGGAAGCACUGAGCAUCACCAGAAAGGCGAGCCUGUGACAGAUUUCAGCAUACCUUGGACUUGAAAGCAGUGUGGAAACAGGCUACAAACAGCCAGGACUGGACCCAGCCAGUGCACUAAUACCAGCCAUCAGUUUAGCCAAUGAGUCUGCAGGAAAAGGACCAUGUUUGUCCAGCCUCCAAAUCCAGAAGCCACCAUCUAAGUUAUGGGCUGGUUCAGUCUCCACGUGAGUUGGCAGGGAAGAGAUCUGUCUGCCUAUUCUGUCUUCACUUGAGAAACAAGCCAUGCAGUGCUUUAACCAGCAGAUGGCAACCGCAAACAGCCAGCCAGCAGAACGCUCAAGGGACGCGCACCGCAGGGUCACGUACAAAAAGCAGGCGCAGUACUGUGCUAUUGCAUCACCCUUGUGAUUACAUUUACUGUACUUCUGCAUUUUUUGCUGCUUUUCCACGAGGAAAAAAAAAAAAAAAAAAAUGAAAGAAUGCAGUAACAACUGGCCUCUCAGUGGGAAAAAAAAAAAAAAAAAAAAAGGCUUAUACAUCCCCAAGCAUGCACAACUGUUUGCACAUCUGAAGCUCUCUCUCACUGAUGUGUAUUUUUUGAGGACAGCUGAGCACACAGCUCAGCAGGGUAAAAGGUGCAGCAUGAUCUCAGACCAUUAGAGACCUGGCAAUCCACAGGAACAUGGCAGGUUCAUUCAGGUCUCACAAGUGAGACAUGAAUCUGAACUUCAGCAGCACACAUUGCUUUGGCUGCAUCCAGAACCAUUUGAUGCUCCCUGAUCCCCAGCCAUCAGGACAGGUUAAGGUUACACAAAUAAAUACCUGCUCAUCACAGAGGCA
rnacentral:lncRNA from 1 species